AAUAUUGCGCAAUGGAGGAAACUCUGACGCAGCGACGCCGCGUGAGCGAUGAAGGUCUUCGGAUCGUAAAGCUCUGUCCUUGGGGAAGAAGGUCUUCGGACUUGACGGUACCCAUGGAGGAAGCCCCGGCUAACUACGUUCCAGCAGCCGCGGUAAUACGUAGGGGGCAAGCGUUGUCCGGAAUUACUGGGCGUAAAGGGUGUGUAGGCGGUCUGUUAAGUUAGAAGUGAAAUCCCCAGGGCUCAACCCGGGUGCUGCUUCUAAAACUGGCAGACUUGAGUACAGGAGAGAGUAGUGGAAUUCCUAGUGUAGCGGUGGAAUGCGUAGAGAUUAGGAGGAACACCAGUGGCGAAGGCGACUACUUGGACUGUAACUGACGCUGAGGCACGAAAGCGUGGGUAGCAAACA
rnacentral:rRNA from 1 species